AGCGUGGGGUUGUAGAAAGCUAAGUUGCUCAUGUGUUAGGCCACACCAGCCCCAGGAACUGCUUCUGAAAGGCUGGAUAUGCUGGUAUGGAGUGAUGGCCAGUCCCCCACACCAGGCCCUGAAAUCAGGGUAGCUGGGCCUGCUGCUCAAGGUCCAACACAAACCCUCAAGAAACUGGGUGCUGGUCCCAGAUCUCCUUCUCAUCAUGGUCCAGAUGUGGACAACUGUCAUCUGCCCCUUCUGCAAAGUUAACAAGUGUGAAAGAAUAGUGAAACACAACCUUGGAGGACAACACACUUGGUUAGGUUUGAAACCAGGAACUACCUGGCUCCCAGCCUGUGCACUUGACCCCGUGCUGUCUGCUUCUCCCGUUCAAGGUUAUCCACAGUCUUAGUCAAGC
ensembl:lncRNA